UACGUAGGCAGCAAGCGUUGUUCGGAGUUACUGGGCGUAAAGGGUGUGUAGGCGGUCCUUUAAGUUUGGUGUGAAAUCUCCCGGCUUAACCGGGAGGGUGCGCCGAAAACUGAGGGGCUAGAGUGCGGGAGAGGAGAGUGGAAUUCCUGGUGUAGCGGUGAAAUGCGUAGAUAUCAGGAGGAACACCGGUGGUGUAGACGGCUCUCUGGACCGUAACUGACGCUGAAACACGAAAGCGUGGGUAGCAAACAGG
rnacentral:rRNA from 1 species